rnacentral:rRNA from 1 species
GUCCAUGCCGUAAACGUUGGGCACUAGGUGUGGGGGGCAUUCCACGUUCUCCGCGCCGUAGCUAACGCAUUAAGUGCCCCGCCUGGGGAGUACGGUCGCAAGGCUAAAACUCAAAGGAAUUGACGGGGGCCCGCACAAGCGGCGGAGCAUGCGGAUUAAUUCGAUGCAACGCGAAGAACCUUACCAAGGCUUGACAUACACCGGACCGUCCUGGAAACAGGUCUUCUUCUUUGAAGCUGGUGUACAGGUGGUGCAUGGUU